CUUUUUUUUAUACUCAAACACUACAAUUAUUAAAUAAAAACUAAGCUUUUUUAUGGGUCAGAACCAUCAAUAAGAUACCACUUUGAAAGAGCUAGAAUUAUAACCUUGUGUCAAGACCUACGGGCCGGGGGAUAAUCUCAGGUAGACAAUUUCUAUAUAGCGUAGGCCUCCUCAAAGGUAACGGAGGCGUGCAAAGGUUUCCUCGAGUCAGACGGAGAUUGGCCCUCGAGUGCAAAGACAGAAGGGAGUUUGACUGCAAGAUCCACCUGUCGAGCAGGGACAAAAGUCGACCUUAGUGAUCCGACGAUGCCGAGUGGAAGGAUCGUCGCUGAACGAAUAAAAG
rnacentral:ncRNA from 1 species